GACGAACGCUGGCGGCGUGCUUAACACAUGCAAGUCGAACGGAAAGGCCCUGCUUUUGUGGGGUGCUCGAGUGGCGAACGGGUGAGUAACACGUGAGUAACCUGCCCUUGACUUUGGGAUAACUUCAGGAAACUGGGGCUAAUACCGGAUAGGAGCUCCUGCUGCAUGGCGGGGGUUGGAAAGUUUCGGCGGUUGGGGAUGGACUCGCGGCUUAUCAGCUUGUUGGUGGGGUAGUGGCUUACCAAGGCUUUGACGGGUAGCCGGCCUGAGAGGGUGACCGGCCACAUUGGGACUGAGAUACGGCCCAGACUCCUACGGGAGGCAGCAGUGGGGAAUAUUGCACAAUGGGCGGAAGCCUGAUGCAGCAACGCCGCGUGCGGGAUGACGGCCUUCGGGUUGUAAACCGCUUUCGCCUGUGACGAAGCGUGAGUGACGGUAAUGGGUAAAGAAGCACCGGCUAACUACGUGCCAGCAGCCGCGGUGAUACGUAGGGUGCGAGCGUUGUCCGGAUUUAUUGGGCGUAAAGGGCUCGUAGGUGGUUGAUCGCGUCGGAAGUGUAAUCUUGGGGCUUAACCCUGAGCGUGCUUUCGAUACGGGUUGACUUGAGGAAGGUAGGGGAGAAUGGAAUUCCUGGUGGAGCGGUGGAAUGCGCAGAUAUCAGGAGGAACACCAGUGGCGAAGGCGGUUCUCUGGGCCCUUCCUGACGCUGAGGAGCGAAAGCGUGGGGAGCGAACAGGCUUAGAUACCCUGGUAGUCCACGCUGUAAACGGUGGGUACUAGGUGUGGGGUCCAUUCCACGGGUUCCGUGCCGUAGCUAACGCUUUAAGUACCCCGCCUGGGGAGUACGGCCGCAAGGCUAAAACUCAAAGGAAUUGACGGGGCCCCGCACAAGCGGCGGAGCAUGCGGAUUAAUUCGAUGCAACGCGUAGAACCUUACCUGGGUUUGACAUGGAUCGGGAGUGCUCAGAGAUGGGUGUGCCUCUUUUGGGGUCGGUUCACAGGUGGUGCAUGGCUGUCGUCAGCUCGUGUCGUGAGAUGUUGGGUUAAGUCCCGCAACGAGCGCAACCCUUGUUCACUGUUGCCAGCACGUUAUGGUGGGGACUCAGUGGAGACCGCCGGGGUCAACUCGGAGGAAGGUGGGGAUGACGUCAAGUCAUCAUGCCCCUUAUGUCCAGGGCUUCACGCAUGCUACAAUGGCUGGUACAGAGAGUGGCGAGCCUGUGAGGGUGAGCGAAUCUCGGAAAGCCGGUCUCAGUUCGGAUUGGGGUCUGCAACUCGACCUCAUGAAGUCGGAGUCGCUAGUAAUCGUAGAUCAGCAACGCUGCGGUGAAUACGUUCCCGGGGCU
rnacentral:rRNA from 1 species